GACGAACCGUGCGAACGUUGUUCGGAAUCACUGGGCUUAAAGGGCGCGUAGGUGGUUUGCCAAGUCGGGGUUGAAAUCUUUCGGCUUAACCGGAAAAGUGGCUUCGAUACUGGCAAGCUGGAGGGAGGUAGGGGCGGAUGGAACUUCCGGUGGAGCGGUGAAAUGUGUUGGUAUCGGAAGGAACGCCGGUGGCGAAAGCGAUCCGCUGGACCUCUUCUGACACUGAGGCGCGAAAGCCAGGGGAGCAAACGGG
rnacentral:rRNA from 1 species